rnacentral:rRNA from 1 species
AUUGAACGCUGGCGGCAUGCCUUACACAUGCAAGUCGAACGGCAGCGGGCCUUCGGGUGCCGGCGAGUGGCGAACGGGUGAGUAAUGCAUCGGAACGUGCCAUUGAGUGGGGGGAUAACGUAGCGAAAGUUACGCUAAUACCGCAUAUUCUGUGAGCAGGAAAGCAGGGGACCGCAAGGCCUUGCGCUCUUUGAGCGGCCGAUGUCAGAUUAGCUAGUUGGUGAGGUAAAGGCUUACCAAGGCGACGAUCUGUAGCGGGUCUUGAGAGGAUGAUCCGCCACACUGGAACUGAGACACGGUCCAGACUCCUACGGGAGGCAGCAGUGGGGAAUUUUGGACAAUGGGCGCAAGCCUGAUCCAGCCAUGCCGCGUGAGUGAAGAAGGCCU